rnacentral:rRNA from 1 species
UACGGAGGGUGCAAGCGUUAAUCGGAAUUACUGGGCGUAAAGCGCCCGCAGGCGGUUUGUCAAGUCUGCUGUUAAAGCACCGGGCUUAACCCGGGAAAUGCAUCGGAAACUGGGAGACUAGAGUCCGGUAGAGGGAGCGGGAAUUCCAGGUGUAGCGGUGAAAUGCGUAGAGAUUGGGAAGAAUACCGGUGGCGAAGGCGGCCUACUGGACGGAGACUGACACUCAGGGACGAAAGCUUGGGGAGCAAACGGG